UAGGGAAUCUUCCGCAAUGGGCGAAAGCCUGACGGAGCAACGCCGCGUAAGUGAUGAAGGUCUUGGGAUCGUAAAACUCUGUUAUUAGGGAAGAACAAAUGUGUAAGUAACUAUGCACGUCUUGACGGUACCUAAUCAGAAAGCCACGGCUAACUACGUGCCAGCAGCCGCGGUAAUACGUAGGUGGCAAGCGUUAUCCGGAAUUAUUGGGCGUAAAGCGCGCGUAGGCGGUUUUUUAAGUCUGAUGUGAAAGCCCACGGCUCAACCGUGGAGGGUCAUUGGAAACUGGAAAACUUGAGUGCAGAAGAUGAAAGUGUAAUUCCAUGUGUAGCGGUGAAAUGCGCAGAGCUAUGGAGUAACACCAGUGGCGAAGGCGACUUUCUGGUCUAUAACUGACGCUGAUGUGCGGCAGCGUGGGGAUCAAACAGG
rnacentral:rRNA from 1 species